rnacentral:rRNA from 1 species
CAGUCGCCGCGGUAAUACGAGGGGGGCAAGCGUUGUUCGGAAUUAUUGGGCGUAAAGGGUGCGUAGGCGGUUUGGUAAGUCUGAUGUGAAAUCUAUGGGCUCAACUCAUAGUCUGCAUCGGAAACUGCCGGGCUUGAGUAUGGGAGAGGUGAGUGGAAUUCCUGGUGUAGCGGUGAAAUGCGUAGAUAUCAGGAGGAACACCUGUGGCGAAAGCGGCUCACUGGACCAUUACUGACGCUGAGGCACGAAAGCUAGGGGAGCAAACAGGAUUAGAUACCCCAGUAGUCCCUGUCUCUUAUAC